rnacentral:rRNA from 1 species
GACGAACGCUGGCGGCGUGCUUAACACAUGCAAGUCGAACGGAAAGGCCCCUUUGGGGGUACUCGAGUGGCGAACGGGUGAGUAACACGUGAGUAACCUGCCCUUGACUUCGGGAUAACUUCAGGAAACUGGGGCUAAUACCGGAUAGGAAUCCUUGCUGCAUGGUGGGGGUUGGAAAGCUUCGGCGGUUUUGGAUGGACUCGCGGCUUAUCAGCUUGUUGGUGGGGUAGUGGCUUACCAAGGCUUUGACGGGUAGCCGGCCUGAGAGGGCGACCGGCCACAUUGGGACUGAGAGACGGCCCAGACUCCUACGGGAGGCAGCAGUGGGGAAUAUUGCACAAUGGGCGGAAGCCUGAUGCAGCACCGCCGCGUGCGGGAUGACGGCCUUCGGGUUGUAAACCGCUUUCAGCAGGGGCGAAGCUUGUGGUGACGGUACCUGCAGAAGAAGCACCGGCUAACUACGUG